rnacentral:rRNA from 1 species
UAAGGAAUCUUCCACAAUGGGGGCAACCCUGAUGGAGCAACGCCGCGUGAAGGAUGAAGGCCCUAGGGUCGUAAACUUCUUUUAUUGGUGAAGAAUAUGACGGUAACCAAUGAAUAAGGGUCGGCUAACUACGUGCCAGCAGCCGCGGUCAUACGUAGGACCCAAGCGUUAUCCGGAGUGACUGGGCGUAAAGAGUUGCGUAGGCGGCUUAAUAAGUGGAUAGUGAAACCUGGUGGCUCAACCAUACAGACUAUUAUCCAAACUGUUAAGCUCGAGAAUGGUAGAGGUGGCUGGAAUUUCUAGUGUAGGAGUGAAAUCCGUAGAUAUUAGAAGGAACACCGAUGGCGUAGGCAGGCCACUGGACCAUUUCUGACGCUAAGGCACGAAAGCGUGGGGAGCGAA